CAAACUUCUACUACCAAAAUUUAAGUACUCUUCUUACCAUCUAAUUACACUUAUUCUAUAGUUAAGCUUCAACAUGGCAGCAAGUGCAUUCUCGAUGAGAAGCAUGAAGGUAAGGUCAUGGCAGAGGUGUUCAAAGCAAGUUAGAGAGCAAAGAACACGGCUUUACAUCAUCUGGAGAUGCACUGUGAUGCUUCUGUGUUGGCAUGAGUAGCCAUAUCCCAGCCCCUUUUGUUGAUGGUUCAAGCAUCAGGCAAGGUAAUGGAGAGUUUAUCAAGUGGCUAACUUUAUUACAGGAAUGGAAAGCCUAGAUGCUGAAAAAUGAAAGGUGGACCAUUGUAAAGUUAAUAAUGAAGAGCAGAUGUGUGAAAUACAUGUAAUAUAGAAAACAAAAUUGAUGGAUGCUUUUUCGCUUUUUAUUUUCUCUCGACUCUGUGAAGUGUGAACAGACCUCUUGCAACUUUUUUUAAGGCUUCUUCAAAUCAUCAUGAACUUGAGGCGCAAGUGCAUUCUACAAGAGUGACUGGAUUUAUAGAUGUUCACCAAUUGUAAAUAGGCAAGAGGGAUGUGUAUGUCAAGCUAUUUCUUGAUGGCCAUCAUUUACAAGGCUGAAUAUGAAAUUAGACUGGUCGAUUGAUCACUGAUGGAAGUUUGCAGUUUCAUCAAUUUAUAAAUUAUAAAAAAUCUGAUAGACAAAAUAAAAACUGGGCAACAAAAAAUAUGUGGGGACCAGUUCCAGCUUAUUUAAUUGCACUUUGCAGGCAGGGUAGGCGUAAAUGAAAUAAAGAAGAUGCAGAUCAAAUUGAGAUUUGCCAAACGAAAUUCUUUCCAAUUUUCUAUUUGAAUCUAUAUCGAACUAUAAAUAAGGAAAACGAAAAAUGAAAAGGAAAUCACAUAUGAUAGCUAGUAAUCCCUAGGAAGAAAGAAACAUUUACGACCAACAGUCGGCAGGUUCCAAACUUCAAAUUUCAGUGCUUAUGUGGGCGAUUCUCAUGAAAGUUCUGUACGGCUGUUGCUGCCAAACUUCAAUAACAUUUUCUGUGCUCCUUGUUUUUUUCAGGUCUGCGCUUACGUUCUCUGUUAAUCUCGACUUCGAAACCGCUUCUUUGCCAAAGAAGGGAAGUGAUUUGGCAAUUUCCAGGGGGCUGGCCCAUGUUUACUAUCAACUCAAACUUCGAAGUGCAGCCAUGGAAAAUGUCAAGAACAUUAGUUGAAUUGGUUCGCAUGUUUAUUUGAUCAGUCAUUUCAUAAAAUCCAAAAAUAGAGAUUAAUAGCUAUUAACCUAUACAAUGUUAAAUCAAAAUCUCCAACACCUAAUAUGGAACCCAUUUAGAAGAAAUUAUUCCUUCUUUAUCCACCAUUUACAUAACUCCACCAUUUACAUACCACUUCAGCUUUACAUAUCAGUGUCAUUUUCAAAGAAAUCCCACCCAUCAUCCAAAAGCUCUUUGCGAUUAUUUUCCUCGUCUUCCUGUUGGCUCUUAGGUGAGUGGUUACAAAUUGAGGAUGUGGGACUUCUGUCUUUAGGGCUCUUAGAUACUUCUUUUUGCUCAGGAAUCAGUUCAUCAGACGCCACGCUUUUAACAGAUGAGGCAGACGAGGCCAAGAUGCAACUUGUUUGGCUUGAGGUAAUUGAUUUGCUCAAUGGCACACGCUCAUCAAAUCUCUCUUUCAGCAAUCUCACAUCCUGACAAAUAACAGAUAUUUCUCCUUGUAAUGUAUCAACGAACCGGCCACGGUCCAUCAGAAACUCCCGAAGCUUAGAAUUUUCCUCUGCCUCCUGCUGAAGGAACUUGGACUCCUGCACCACCUUCUCCAUGAUGGCCUCUUGUUCAGCAAGAGCAUUUCGUGCAGAUUCUUCUUUUUCCAGCUUCUGCUCCUCAGCAGUUCUCCUUAGUUCCUCCGCUGCAUCUAGUCGAGCUUCCAGGGUUUGUUGCAUCUGUAUGAAUGUAGCAGUUACCAGAUCACAAGAGAUAAACACACACACACAUAAGCAAUUUUUAAGUAGUCCAGUCAAUGCAAACCCAUGUCUACAUUUGAUUCAUCCAAUAUUUAAUAUAAAACACAUUAAUCUUAUUACAUCACAAGCGACUUGAUUAUAAGGAAUACCUCAUCGAGAAUUGCAAGAGCUUUAUCUCUUUCCUCAGACAAGCUGAUUAGCCUAGCCUGCAACUCCCUCACUUCAGUGGCUAGAAUGGCCUUCUCACCAUAAAUUUCCCCUGCAUGCAUGUCAUUUGCCUCCUUUGCAGGUUCCAGCAUUUGUUUAAGUUCCUUCACCUUGGUUAGAAUGUCCAGGCCUGCACUAGCAGCUUCCUCUUUGGCUAGCUCAGCAAUUUUCUCUUGAAGUUCAACUUGUCUCAUCAUGUUCAUAAUUGAUUCCAUUGCUAAAAACAAAGUUUUCUUGUUGUUUUUAGCAGCUUCAAUAACAUCCUCAAGAAAAUCAAUUUUGAUGUCCUGCUUGGACUUCAAAAUCUUACUGCCACUGGAAGUGGCAGACAAUUCUGAUUGAAGAUCACCUUCUGCAGCAUCUAGUGUCUCUUCAACCAUAGAAUUUUCCAAUUCCAAACCAGAACAACCUAAACACGACACCACUUGAGGGACUUGUUCACUAUGAGGCCUAUCAAAAUUACCAGCCGAAGAGCCAUCAUGAUCUUUCCACCUGCUAUCAUGCCCACAAUUUUCCAGUGACAAAUUAAUUGGCAUGAUUUGAGAAGUUUGUUCAUCCCCAACUUUGAUGUUAAUCCCUUGACAUUUACCCAAUGAUGAAGCUGGCACCUCACUUUCAGUACAUGAUUGACUGAAAUCCAUAUUUUCAUCACACGACAAAGCACUUAAUGUGACUUUGGAAGUCUGACUUGUGGCAGACUGGACAUUUUCUUCUUGAUGUUGAGACCCCAUCAACAAUAUUGAUUCCUCCCUUUCAAUAUUCAAGUCAGACGGCACAUUGUCUUGAUGUUGAGACCUCAACAAUAAUAUGAGUUCCUCACUUUCAAUAUUUCGUUGAAGCUGAUUAGUGCUACUUCCUGGGAAUUGAUUGGUGUCAACAUUUGUGCUACAAGAUAACAGUGUAGGUGGAUUCAGUGCCUUUUCUUGAUGAGUUGAACCAGAAUGAUGGAUGGCACUUGUAAGAUCAGUUUUACAGGCAUCUUCUUUGGCUAUUGAUUUUGAUUCCAAAGAAGUGGUCACAGUCCUAUUGUUCUGUUCGUCAUUCACAACUCUUCCACCUGAUAGCCCGCUUGGACUGUCAACCAUGGACUGUUGUGAAAGAAAAGGAAGAACCUCUGAAAUAAUGACUUCAGCAGCUCCAUUAACAUCUUUGGGGUUCUCAAUAGCAACAGCCUUUAGCAUGCGUGAAUCCACCACACUACUGCCUUGUCGUCCAACAGACCAUGCCAUUCCUCUCCAACUUGGAACUGCUUCAGUGAGUGUCAAGCUCUACCGAUAUAGCCAUUGGCAAAAGGACGAGAUUGAUAGAAUAGUUGCUGAAAGGUUGCAAGCUGGAAUCAUACAACCAAGUUGUAGUCCGUUCUCAGGUCCUGUGGAAACAGCUCCAUCAAGCUUCGAUAAACUGCUUUGAAACCCAUAUCCAACAGUUAGUAAUCUAACGUUCGAGCCCAAGGGAAAGGGAAAGAGUAUGAUUGUGCAAGUGACGAAGCCGUUGAGAAGAAGUUUACAUUUGGGUUUUGCAGCGUUCGUUUCUCGGGAAAAUGAGUAGGCUGACAGGAGGAUACCUAGCGACUAAGAAACUGGAUAUAAGCGUAAAAAUGGGGAUCAACGAGGGCAUUCAAGUCAAAUUCUCUUUAUUUAUCUGUAGUACUUUAUUAUCCGGAUAUUUUCGCGAUGGAACUGAGAAACUGCAUGGUGUAGGUUUCGUCCGGAGUUAAUGUGAGGCGCAAGUCGUAUCAUUUAUCGUUUCGUCUGGUCAUUUUCAGAUUUUCGACGAGUGAUUUCCAGGAAGCUUCUUCUGCCGGUUUG
rnacentral:misc_RNA from 1 species